rnacentral:lncRNA from 1 species
CCUGCCCAAAGGCCAAGGGUAGAGGCUUCCUACCAAGGGAAAUUUAUAGGGAGGGGCAGAGCUAUCUCUUUUGGACCUUACUCUGAAUUGGGAGAAGGAAUAAUGCCAAGUUUCAAGAAUGUCUCCUUUUGUUUCCUGAAUGUCUCCUUUUGUUUAUUUGGAAAGACGUGACCUAUUUUGUUUUUGCAGGUAAUGGUACAUUAAAAUAGAGUAUAUAAAGACUGGUAACCAAACUUCAACUUGUAAAUCAAAAUGACCCUUCCUUAAGUGUGUCAUUGGCUUAUAACCUCAGAGUAACUGAAGCGUGUGUUGCAAUUUUGGUCUGGCCUAACUUUAGCAAAAAGCACAUGAGAAGUUCCUUUAUCCUUUUGUUACCCAGCAAGCAAUCUUGUGCUGUGGUUCAGAGAGCCAAACCCUGAUAGCUGACAUUUGCAGUAAAGUAAGGGUUGAUUUGGAGCUGCAGCGGCCAUCCUAUGCUGCAGCUGCAGCCUGUGCCACAACCACAGCAAUGCCAGAUCCAAGCUGCAUCUGUGACCCAAGCCACAGCUUGCAGAAAUGCCAGAUACUUAACUCAUUGAGUGAUGUCAGAGAUCAAAACCUCAUCUUCAUGGCAACUAUGUCAGGUACUUAUCCCACUGAACUACACUGGGAACUUCCCAGGCAAAGGUUUUUAAAGACAGUGUUAGGGGAGAGGGUUGUAGAAUAUAUUAUCAACUUGUGGACUUUCUUCUGCUUGGCUGAUGGUGAGAUAACAGAGAAUCUCAACCUUCUGGUUCCAACCAGCCUGGGGUCUAUGUACUUGUGCUCACAUGUAGUCACCAUCUACCACCUGGGAAAGUGUCUUAGUUUCUGCAGAACAACUCAAAGAUCUGAACCAGAUUGUUAUCUAUAUCCCCUCAGGAGGAACUAGGAGUCCUGUGACUAUUGACCUAAUCAUUAACUGCUUGAGCCUGCUCUUUGGAACUCAAGGAAGGCCUAGGAGGCUGAAGUCAUUUUCCUACAAAGAAGAAGUGGGGAACGUGGAGUUUCCUGGUGGUCUACUGGCUAAGGAUGUCACUGCUGUGGCUUGGGUUCAGUCCCUGGCCCUGGAACUUCUAUAUGCUGCAGGCAUGGCCAGAAGCAAAGAAGAAAUGGGAAGCACAGAAAGGCUUUUGUAUCUGGCAGCCUCCUGCAGGGUCCUGCUUGGUUUGAAUGUCCCCUUUUCUUCAAUACCCCUCAAUCUUGAGGGGAACAGGGGCAGGAAAGGAAAGGGAACACAGUUUUGGAAAGAAAGAUUAAUCAUAAACUCAGCAGGGAACUUGGUUUCAUUUUCACUGCUUAAUUCCACAGAGCUGUGGUGAAUAACCAACCCACUUUGCUCUCUAGAGUGAUGUGGCAGGGAGAGUGGUGGGAGGUUUGGGCUCAAUAGACCUAGGUUUAAAUCACUAUCACUGGGCCUCCUUUUUCUCAUCUGUAAAUAGGACUGUUAUUGGACCAAACUUGGGUCUGCUUGCCCACUGCAGCAAAGCCAAUUUACUGACACCAGGUUAUGGUGAAGGAAAGUACGGCAUUCAUUGCAGGGCAGCAUGCAAGGAGAAUGGGCUGCUUCUGUGCUCAAAAAACCCAAACAAAGAAAAAAAAGAAAAAAGGAGUUCCUGUCAUGGCACAGCGGAAACGAACCCAACUAGGAACCAUGAGGUUGUGGGUUUGAUACCUGGCCUUGCUCAGUGGGUUAAGGAUCCGGCGUUGCUGUGAGCUGUGGUAUGGGUUGCAGAUGCAGCUCAGAUCUGGUGUUGCUAUGGCUGUGUAGUAGGCUGGCAGCUGUAGCUCUGAUUAGACCCUAGCAUGGGAAUCUUCAUAUGCUGUGGGUGCGGCCCUGAAAAGACAGAAAAAACCAAAAACCAAAAACAAACACAAACACCCUGAUGGUCUUCAGGGAAGAAUUUUUUUUUUUUUUUUUGUCUUUUUAGGGAUGUACCCGUGGCAGGUGGAAGUUCCCAGGCUAAGGGUCAAAUCGGAGCUACAGCUGCCCACCUAUGUUUCAGCAAUACUGGAUCCAAGCUUCAUCUUCAACCUACAUCAGAGGUCACAGCAAUGCCAGAUCCUUAACCCACUGAGCGAGGCCAGGAAUUGAACCCGUGUCCUCAUGGAUACUAGUCAAAUUCAUUUCUGCUGAGCCACAAGGGGAACUCCUUCAGGGAAGAAUUUUUAAGGGCAACGUUUGGGUGAGGGCUGCAGGGUGCAUGACUUUCUUCUGAUUGGUUGGUGGGGAGGUGACAGCGUGGUGCUCCAGGAAUCUUCAUCAUCAUCCUUCUGGUUCCAACCAGCCUGGGGUCAGUGCUAGUGUGUCCUCCUCCUGGAUGGAGGUGGUCGUAGUUUCUGCAGAACAGCUCGAAGGUGUGUGUCAAAUUGUGUGUAUAUGCCUUGAGGAGGAACUAGGGCUAUUUUAUUGCUGUACUAUUGCCAUAACUUUUCUUAUUUAACUGCUUUUCCUUUGUUUCUGUGAUCCCUCACUUUUCCUAAUUUCUCUUGUUCUUUCUCUUUGGAACUCUGGGAAGGACUAGGAGAAUAAAGUCUUUUCCUGCAAACAAGAAAUGGAGACAUGGAGAGGUCUUUGUAUCCAGGAGGGGCUGCUGAGUACUGCUUGAUUUUAGAGUCAAUAACAUUGCCCAUGCAACAAUGGUUUUGAGCCUCAAAUAAGGUUAUCUGUACACUAAGUGUAUCCUCUAUACAGAGUGGCUGUUUUGUUAAGAGAUGAGUGUGGGCUUUUCCAUAUUCAUGAAUUCUCUAGGAGCUUGGUUGCUAAGUCCAGAAAAUGGGAUUGGUUUGGGAUUUCAUUAUUAUUUUCACACUUCUAUAUUGAUGUAGAUUUUAUUAUUAUUAUUAUUAUUGUUAUAGUGUCAUCCACGUGACCUGUUUUUAAAUAGGAAAAAAGCUUUGUCAAGGUAAAAAGUCCCAUAUCCAGACUCUAGAAUUUUCCCCUAAAAUAAGCGGUGUGAAGAAUAGAAAUAUUAACAAAGAAGCUGAUGACAUUUCCUCUAAAGCGAUGAAAGAUUAGAAAGCUGCCACUUUUGGCUGGCUCAGGCCCUCCCCUUCCCAGCAGCAUCAUGGGAUUAGGUGACCUCUCAAGGUUCCUUGUAGCUUGGGAUUUUGUUUUUUGAUGUCUGUUUAAAGAUUAUGCUAAUACUGAAAAUCCUUUGUACACAGUGGUGGUUAAAAAUUCUGGCUCCUGACCUGAAUCAAUGCCUGGCCUGGUUUAAAUUGUAUACUUGAGCUUAACAGGACUCAAAUGCUCAUGUUUUAUACAAGCCAUUGGUCUUUCUUUUUUGCCUCAAAAAGAUUUUUUUUUGUUGUUAUUGUAUUUUGGACUAAAGCAAGAGAGAGAAGGUUGAUUAAAAAAAAUGCAUUCAGUUACAGAAGGAUUUAGAUUAUUCUAAUAACUAAGCUUAGUUUUUCAUAUUGUGGGUGAGAAAGAUGGAUGAACAAUAAUGUAGAGUGCAAAGACCCAGGAGGUAACUCCCCAGAAAUAUAUCACUGGGGCAGCAUGUUAAUUUCAAAUUGAACCCCAAGCAUCUAAUAAAUAACUUGUUUAGUACUUUGGGAAGAUGGACUCUGGAGCCAGCCUACUGGGGCUUGGCUACUAUUUCUGCCUCUUAUGGGCUCUGUGAUCUUGGCAAUAUAUUUAACCUAUUUGUACCCUUCCUCAUCUGCAAAAUGGGGAUAACAAUAGUACUUACUUCUUAGAGUUGUUGGGAAGAUUAAAUGAGUUAAUAAAUGUAAAGUGGUUAGCACGGUGCCUGGAAUACAAUGUGUUCAAUAAUAGCAAUUAAUUCAAAAUCUUAAGGAUUACCAUGGUCUUUUAUUUAAAACAUUUUUUUUUGGCCGGGCCCACAGCACGUGGAAGUUCUUGCGCCAGGCUAUAGCAGUGACAGGAAUCACAGCAGUGACAAUGCUGGAUCCUCAACCCAGUAGGCCGAUGGGGAACUUCAAAACAAACUUAUUUUGUUUGCUUUUUAUUUUUACUUCUUUACUUUUUAUGAAGGAAAAUUUUUAAAAAUUAAAAAAAUAGAGAGGUAUAAUAAUCCUCCAUGUAUUCAUUAGCAGUUAUCCAUUUAUGAGCAAUCUUGUUUUACCUUAUUUUUGCCCAUUCACUUCCCCUCCUUCUACUUGAUUAUUUUGACAUAGAUCUCAUCCAUCAUAUAUUUCACCUUUAAAUAUUCCAGUAUGUAUCUCUAAAAUAAAGGUAUUGAAAGUUCCUGUUGUGGCUCAGGGGUAACGAGGCAGACUAGCAUCCAUGAGGAUGUGUGUGGGUUCGAUCCCUGGCCUCCCUCAGUGGGUUAAUGAUCUGGUGUUGCCUUGAACUGUGGUGUAGGUUGCAGACACGGCUCAGAUCCCGCGUUGCUGUGGCUGUGGUGUAGGCCGGCAACUACAUCUCUGAUUCAACCGCUAGCCUGGGAACUUCCAUAUGCUGCAGGUGCGGCCCUAAAAAAUAAAUUUAAAAAAUAAAAUAAAGUAGCAAAUUAUGGCCCAAUGUCUAUUUUACAAAUAAAGUUAUUGGAAUGCCAUGAAAGGGUCCAAAACAUGCUAUUAGGGCAUAAAGUUUUUUUUCUUUUCAUGGACACACCUUUGACAUAUGGAAGAUUCCAGGCCAGGGGUCAAAUCAGAGCUGCACCUGCAACAUAUACCUCACCUUGAGGCAACGCUGGUUCCUUAAGCCACUGAGCGAGGCCAGGGAUCAAACCCACAUCCUCAUGGAUACUAUGUUGGGUUCUUAGCCCAGUGAGCCACAGUGGGAAUUCCGUGGCAUAAAAUUUAUUUCAACUGAGGUCAUUUGAGAAUAGGCUUUUUUUCUGAACUCUUUUAUCUGCCUAAGAGCAGAACCUCCCAGAAAAACUCAGUUGUGAUUAAUCUCCCCAGGAAUUCACAAUCCCCCCGACUGACUCUUUUCACAGAUGGAAGAAGUUGGGACCAUGUCUGCGUAGUCUAAACUGACAUUGUCAUAUAACUAUGCCUGUUGUCUAUUCUCCCCAGGGCCCAUGUAUCUUUCCUAAAAAUCAUUUGUUUUCCCAUAAGUGCCCUUUUCCUCUUCUGGUGAUUUGUAAGUCCCAAGUUCUUUUUUUUUUUUGUUAUUGCAACCUACACCACAGCUCACGGCCACGCCGGAUCGUUAAUCCACUGAGCAAGGGCAGGGACCGAACCCGCAACCUCAUGGUUUCUAGUCAGAUUCGUUAACCACUGCGCCACGACGGGAACUCCCAUUUGUAAGUCCCAAGUUCUAAUCGCCUUUCUGAGUCAUGCUUUUCUGUGAACUCUUGUGUGUGUACAUGAAUAAAAAUCUGUCUUUUCUCU